rnacentral:rRNA from 1 species
UACGGAGGGUGCAAGCGUUAUCCGGAUUCACUGGGUUUAAAGGGUGCGUAGGCGGGUAGGUAAGUCCGUGGUGAAAUCUCUGAGCUUAACUCAGAAACUGCCGUGGAUACUAUUUGCCUUGAAUAUUGUGGAGGUGAGCGGAAUAUGUCAUGUAGCGGUGAAAUGCUUAGAUAUGACAUAGAACACCAAUUGCGAAGGCAGCUCACUACACAAUGAUUGACGCUGAGGCACGAAAGCGUGGGGAGCAAACAGG